rnacentral:rRNA from 1 species
UACGGAGGGUGCAAGCGUUAUCCGGAUUCACUGGGUUUAAAGGGUGCGUAGGCGGGCAGGUAAGUCAGUGGUGAAAUCCCCGGGCUCAACUUGGGAACUGCCGUUGAUACUAUCUGUCUUGAAUAUCGUGGAGGUGAGCGGAAUAUGUCAUGUAGCGGUGAAAUGCUUAGAGAUGACAUAGAACACCUAUUGCGAAGGCAGCUCACUACACGGUAAUUGACGCUGAGGCACGAAAGCGUGGGGAGCAAACAGGAUUAGAUACCCUGGUAGUCCACGCCCUAAACGAUGAUCACUCGACAUCAGCGAUACACAGUUGGUGUCUGAGCGAAAGCAUUAAGUGAUCCACCUGGGAAGUACGAUCGCAAGAUUGAA